UGGGGAAUAUUGCGCAAUGGGGGGAACCCUGACGCAGCCAUGCCGCGUGAAUGAAGAAGGCCUUCGGGUUGUAAAGUUCUUUCGGUAUUGAGGAAGGUUGAUGUGUUAAUAGCACAUCAAAUUGACGUUAAAUACAGAAGAAGCACCGGCUAACUCCGUGCCAGCAGCCGCGGUAAUACGGAGGGUGCGAGCGUUAAUCGGAAUAACUGGGCGUAAAGGGCACGCAGGCGGUUAUUUAAGUGAGGUGUGAAAGCCCUGGGCUUAACCUAGGAAUUGCAUUUCAGACUGGGUAACUAGAGUACUUUAGGGAGGGGUAGAAUUCCACGUGUAGCGGUGAAAUGCGUAGAGAUGUGGAGGAAUACCGAAGGCGAAGGCAGCCCCUUGGGAAUGUACUGACGCUCAUGUGCGAAAGCGUGGGGAGCAAACAGGAUUAGAUACCCUGGCAGUCCACGCUGUAAACGCUGUCGAUUUGGGGGUUGGGGUUUAACUCUGGCGCCCGUAGCUAACGUGAUAAAUCGACCGCCUGGGGAGUACGGCCGCAAGGUUA
rnacentral:rRNA from 1 species